AUGAGUUUUUAUAAUCUUUAAUGUGAGGUCCUUUAAAUUAGUGAAUCUAGGUCUCCAUGAGGACCCCAAAUUUACAUAUUUAAAUAAUUGAGGACCUGUAAUUAUAUAACAUAAAAGGUUGAAGAGUCCAACCCAAAUUUAAAUUACAACAAGUCAGAAACUGAAAAUUUCAUCAAACCAGAAACCUCUUUACUGAAAAAUAAAAAAAAUAAAAAAAAACAAUAAUAGACAGCUAGCUCCCUAGGUUUUAUUACAACAAGACCGACAAUAAACAAUAAUCUUUCAUUCAAGAGCAUGCUUCUAGGAAGGAAAAUGGAGCAAAUGCAAUUUCUUGAUCUGAGGCAUAAGUGAAUUUGAAUGUUUUUCCACCAUAGAUAGGGCUUCCAUCGUUAAUAAGACAUGACUUCGGGCCGUUCUUGGAAACGAACUUAGGUGAGGGCUUAAUUGUUUUGACAGAAUCAAAUCCGGGGCAAAGUAGUGUCACUUGCAAGAAGCUACACAGGCAUUUAUUGGUCACUGUCACUUUCCACUCUGGUUUAUUUCUUAUUUUCUCUUUGGUUCUAACUUGAUUUACCGUAAGGUCUCUAAGGCUCCCAGGAAAGCAUUGAAGACUACCUGAAACAUGAAACCAAAAUCGUAUAAAUUAAUAUUAAAUAAGUGAAAAAAGAAAGAAAAGUAAGAAAUGUUAUACCUCUGGUCAUAAAGCACAUAAAGAAAAGAAAGCAAAGGAAUUUGUUGAAGAAUUCCAUUGAAGGAAACUGGAGAGUGAUAUAUUUGUGUCUAAAUG
rnacentral:lncRNA from 1 species